rnacentral:rRNA from 1 species
AUUGAACGCUGGCGGCAGGCCUAACACAUGCAAGUCGAGCGGAGCGGCGGACGGGUGAGUAAUGCCUAGGAAUCUGACUGGUAGUGGGGGAUAACGUCCGGAAACGGGCGCUAAUACCGCAAACUCUCAGCUGAGCCUAGGUCGGAUUAGCUUGUUGGUGGGGUAAAGGGCUACCAAGGCGACGGACCGUAACUGGUCUGAGAGGAUGAUCAGUCACAUUGGAACGGAGACACGGUCCAGACUCCGACGGGAGGCAGCAGUGUGGAAUAUUGGACAAGGGGCGAAAGCCUGAUCCAGCCAUGCCGCGUGUGUGAAGAAGGUCUUCGGAUUGUAAAGCACUUUAAGUUGGGAGGCGUUACCAACAGAAUAAGCACCGGCUAACUUCGUGCCAGCAGCCGCGGUAAUAC